rnacentral:rRNA from 1 species
CCUACGGGAGGCAGCAGUGGGGAAUAUUGCACAAUGGAGGAAACCCUGAUGCAGCGACGCCGCGUGAGUGAAGAAGUCAUUCGUUAUGUAAAGCUCUAUCAGCAGGGAAGAAAAUGCCGGUACCUGAGUCAGACGCCCCGGCUAACUACGUGCCAGCAGCCGCGGUACUACGUAGGGGGCAAGCGUUAUCCGGAUUUACUGGGUGUAAAGGGAGCGUAGACGGCAGUGCGAGUCUGGAGUGAAAGGCCGGGGCUCAACCCCCGGACUGCCUUGGAAACUGUACGGCUGGAGAGCAGGAGAGGUAAGUGGAAUUCCUGGUGUAGCGGUGAAAUGCGUAGAUAUUAGGAGGAACACCAGUGGCGAAGGCGGCUUACUGGACUGUAACUGACGUUGAGGCUCGAAAGCGUGGGGAGCAAACAGGAUUAGAUACCCCAGUAGUC